rnacentral:pre_miRNA from 1 species
AUUUUAUUGAGUAUUUUUGCAUCGAUGUUCAUAAGGGAAAUUGGUCUGACAUUCUCUCUUUGUUGGGUCUUUGUGUGGUUUAGGUAUCAGAGUA